rnacentral:rRNA from 1 species
CAGUCGACGGCAGCGCGGACUUCGGUCUGGCGGCGAGUGGCGAACGGGUGAGUAAUACAUCGGAACGUGCCCUGUUGUGGGGGAUAACUAGUCGAAAGAUUAGCUAAUACCGCAUACGACCUGAGGGUGAAAGCGGGGGACCGWAAGGCCUCGCGCAAUAGGAGCGGCCGAUGUCUGAUUAGCUAGUUGGUGAGGUAAAGGCUCACCAAGGCGACGAUCAGUAGCUGGUCUGAGAGGACGAUCAGCCACACUGGGACUGAGACACGGCCCAGACUCCUACGGGAGGCAGCAGUGGGGAAUUUUGGACAAUGGGGGCAACCCUGAUCCAGCAAUGCCGCGUGUGUGAAGAAGGCCUUCGGGUUGUAAAGCACUUUUGUCCGGAAAGAAAUCCUUUGGGCUAAUACCCCGGAGGGAUGACGGUACCGGAAGAAUAAGCACCGGCUAACUACGUGCCAGCAGCCGCGGUAAUACGUAGGGUGCGAGCGUUAAUCGGAAUUACUGGGCGUAAAGCGUGCGCAGGCGGUUUUGUAAGACAGGCGUGAAAUCCCCGAGCUCAACUUGGGAAUUGCGCUUGUGACUGCAAGGCUAGAGUAUGUCAGAG